CAGCCGCCACGGUAAUACAGAGGGUGCAAGCGUUAAUCGGAAUUACUGGGCGUAAAGCGCGCGUAGGUGGUUUGUUAAGUUGAAUGUGAAAUCCCCGGGCUCAACCUGGGAACUGCAUCCAAAACUGGCAAGCUAGAGUAGGGCAGAGGGUGGUGGAAUUUCCUGUGUAGCGGUGAAAUGCGUAGAUAUAGGAAGGAACACCAGUGGCGAAGGCGACCACCUGGGCUCAUACUGACACUGAGGUGCGAAAGCGUGGGGAGCAAACAGGAUUAGAUACCCCUGUAGUCCCUGUCUCUUAUAC
rnacentral:rRNA from 1 species